rnacentral:rRNA from 1 species
GACAGAGGUGCCAAGCGUUAGGCGGAAUCACUGGGCUUAAAGCGUGUGUAGGCGGAUGUCUAAGUACCUUGUGAAAUCCCACGGCUCAACCGUGGAACUGCUUGGUAUACUGGAUGUCUUGAGCCAUCUAGGGGCUACCGGAACAAAUGGUGGAGCGGCGAAAUGCGUAGAUAUCAUUUGGAACGCCAAUGGUGAAAACAGGUAGCUGGGGAUGUGCUGACGCUGAGACACGAAAGCCAGGGGAGCAAACGGG